rnacentral:rRNA from 1 species
AGUCGAGCGAGAAGACGUAGCAAUACGUUUGUAAAGCGGCGAACGGGUGAGGAAUACAUGGGUAACCUACCCUCGAGUGGGGAAUAACUAGCCGAAAGGUUAGCUAAUACCGCAUACGGCUCCUGGUCUGCGGAUCGGGAGAGAAAGCGAUACCGUGGGUAUCGCGCUCUUGGAUGGGCUCAUGUCCUAUCAGCUUGUUGGUGAGGUAACGGCUCACCAAGGCUUCGACGGGUAGCUGGUCUGAGAGGACGAUCAGCCACACUGGCACUGCGACACGGGCCAGACUCCUACGGGAGGCAGCAGUAAGGAAUAUUGCGCAAUGGGCGACAGCCUGACGCAGCGACGCCGCGUGGGGGAUGAAGGUCUUCGGAUUGUAAACCCCUUUCGGCAGGGAAGAUGGAACGGGUAACCGUUCGGACGGUACCUGCAGAUGCAGCCACGGCUAACUUCGUGCCAGCAGCCGCGGUAAUACGAAGGUGGCAAGCGUUGUUCGGAUUUACUGGGCGUACAGGGAGCGUAGGCGGUUGGGUAAGCCCUUCGUGAAAUCUCCGGGCCUAACCCGGAAAGUGCGGAGGGGACUGCUCGGCUAGAGG